AGUCUUCUCUGCAGACACCAGCCUGGUGUCCUCCUUCAUCCCAGGCUGCCAGGCUAGGCAGGGGACAGCGGCUGCCCUGGUCCUCACAGCCCUGGCUACGGGGCUGGUGACAGCCAGAUCCUCAUGCUUCUGCGACCUGAGCGCUGCCUUCAGACACCUCUCUGCUGGCGUGUUCCUGGGUCCAUGAUGGAAGAAGGAAAAGUAUUUUUAAAAGACAAUCUGAAGCUCAUACUGUGACUGCAACAUAAAAUGUGUUCACCUGAGGAGACUGCUUUCAUCGCCAGUGUGUCACAGAUGGUGGAAACCUCAGAAGGCCACAGUCCAGAGUAGGGGCUUAAUGCAAGCUGCUGGAACUGAAUAAAGCUGACUUCUCUGAGCUGGAUGGCACCCUGGACAUCAACCAGCCCUUCACCUUCACGUCACACAGGAGGGACACUGGUCCAUAGAGAGGAUGCCUGCUCUGGUCACCAGCUGGAGAGUGGCAGACCUUGGGUACCUGACCUUUGGACUCUGCCACACAGAGCACUUCCUCAGUCCCUCCUGCUGCCCCUGGCAGGGUGGAGCUGGCAGGGCAGCUGAUCCAGGACCGUCCACUUCCAAGCCAGCAGGAGGAUGGAAAAGCAGAAUGGAGGGGAAACAACCUCCUUUGCAGGGCGUGACUCGGAAGUUGGACACAUCAUUUCCAGCCACAUUCCAUGGACCAGAAUUAGCCCUGUGACCAACUCUGGCUGCCAGAAAAUCUGGGAAAUACAGUCUCUGCUUGGGCGAUCAGGCAGGCAGUUAUAUCUUUGGGAACAUCUCUCACCCCCUGGGAACACCUGAGCAGAAACUGAAGGACAUUUAACAGAUUCUCCUUUGUGUCUAAUAAGAAUUGCCCCCAUCAGUCGGGGCUGUCCUAGGUGCUGGGUACAUAGGUCAUCUAUACACAACCCAGCAAUGGAGAGCACACCAUUCCCAGGCUGCAGAUGCAGAAACUGUGGCUCGGAGAGUUAAGCGUCUUGUUCAGAUUCAGUCAGCUGGUAGAUGGCAGGUCUGGGAUUGAGACCCAGGCCUGGCUGGUCCUGCCAGGACACAGUAUCACAGCUUUGACUGGGAGCUUCUUUUUGUUUACAUAUAUUUUUUAUGCUCAAUGUGCAUUCCUUUUGAAAUACACAGAAAAGGGAAAGAAGCCGGAGUCCUGCCUUGUGUAGGAGGGAUAAGUUAGAGGUGUGCACCGGGAUAAAUCUGCCUCCCGCGCUGGCCCUGGCCCUGGCCCUGGCCCUGGCCCUGGCCCUGAUCCUGCUCCUGAUUCUGGUCCUUGGGGCCUGGGCGGCGAUUCCCGGCGCUGGCUGAGCGUCACCGGCCACCAGAGGGCGCUGCCGGGCUACCGGUCCGGUCGCCCGGGGAUCACAGCCUCAGCGGACAGGAAAUGAUCAACAGCUUCUCCUCUCGGAUCCACGUGGACUCAAGGAAUCUCCGGGGGGCAGGACAGGUGCAGAGCCGAGUGCAAAGGUGGAAUUCUAUUCCCAAAGCACAUCCCGCGCCCCUUUCCUCUGCAAAGUCCCGGAACCGCGUGACUCCGGAUGAGUUAUCGGGGCUGGAACCGAGGGUUCAGCCCCCUGCGCCUCUGUGUGUCCCGGUCCCUUUCCUCCAAGUAGACAGGAGGCAUCUCCUCAUCGGCUCAGUUCACAUUCCUCCAGGGGCUCAAAGGGGACCCAGUCCCUGUCUUGGGACACCAAGUCAGGCAGACUCCAGGAGAGAGGAAGGAAGAUGAUUCCCGCGCUCAGGUGGGCGGGUCCUGCUCCCUCUGUUGAAGACCUGAAGACAAAGAUUGACCCUCACCCUUCACCUCCCACCUCUUCCUCACCUUGGAAAAGAAAAACAUUCCUGAGAGGGGGGAUUUGUCAGCAGAAGGCUUUGGGACUAGAACUGCAGCAUCAGCUCUUCCUGGUUCCCCAGCGCCCAGGCCUACCCUGCAGAUGUGGGCUUACUGGCCUCCACGAUCAGUGAGCCGGUUCCUUAAAAUCAACCUCUCUCUCUUCCUCUGUCUCUCCCUCUCUCUCUCUCCCUGUCCACAUCCCAUUGGUUCUGUUUCUCUGGGGAAACCUGACUAAUAAGGGGACUCUCAAGGCCCUGGCUGAGGAUGGCAGGCCUGAAGAUUCUCUGAGGCAUUCAGCAUUGAAUGAGCACCAGCUGGGCGUGGAGCUGUGUCAGGCGCUGGGCACAGGACUCAGCCCCGGAACCAAGUGUGGGCCCACAUGGUGUGGGCCUUUGUCUGUCCCUGUCAUGGCUUUGGACACACGCGUGGCCCAGAGGGGACAACGGAUCUGGGUGGCGAGGUGGGAAAGCUCACCCCAGUAUUCCUCUUGGUGGCAGCAGUCCCUUAAGGGGUCGCCUGAGUCGUGAGACCCACAGGUGUGGACCUCCCCCCCCCCUUCCUCCCCUCUCCCCCAGUGACUUUAUCCAGCACCUGCCCUGCCCAGCCUUGCACAGGUUACCCUGUGACCCACUCACAGGGAGAUAGGGCAGCUUCUUUCUGCCCUCAGGAGCCUUGUUCUCAAGGCAGCUCAUCCAAGAGAAUAACAUACAGUAGAUUGCCACACACAUGACUGUGGCUUAGUCCAGGAAAGCCACUUAUAAAAUCCGGAGGUGAAGGAAGAAAAGAUUGAAAUCUCUGUAACAAAUCCAUUUCCCUCCUCCCUCCCUCCCUUCAUCUCCAAAGUAGACCUGCCCCAGGGCCAGGGAUCCUCUCCCUGCAAGGCUAGGUAACAAGCGGAUUUUUGCUUUUGAGCUUCAAGGUCCUGGCUUCUGGUGGUUUAUAGGUGAUCUUUGAGGGUGGUUUUGACGAGAGGCUUGUUAGCUUCUCUACGCUUUUGAAACGCCCACUCUCCCCACAAGAAUCUGGGACUUUGCAGAACCGGUCCAAGGUGAGAGUAGGAUUAAUUGCCAAAUGAGUUUUCUCAUAAGCCUGGGGUCCAAAGUACAUUGGACAGCCAGCAAAUGCUUAUGAGGGGUUUGAACAAGUGAAAUCAAGGCUCAAGGUCAUAGGACUCAAUGGAGAGUGAGGCAGCUGGGAUCUGGGAUGACCGGCAUGGGCCUCAAAGCAGGGGGCUUGGAAAUAGGCCCUGAAGAGGGGGUCGCUUGCGUGGCUAGGAAGGGGUUGGGGCCCACUAGCAUUUCUCAGAAUGCCUAUUUUCUUCGGCAGUGAGAGCUGGAGGGAGGGAUGGGUUUCUCAGCACAGUUCCAGUAUGAGUGGCUGUCACCACAGGGCGCCAUUGCCAAGUCAGAAAGAAACAAAGCUUAACCGCUGCCUCCUGUCCCCCAUGGUCUGUGAAAGUCUCAUACUGUAGUGCGUCUAAUGGUGGCCCCCCAAAAGAUACAUCUACAUUAUAAUUCCUGGGACCCAGAAAUGUGACCUUAUUUGGAAAAAGGGUCUUUGACCUUAUUUGGAAAAAGCGUCUUUACAAAUGUAAGUGACCUUAUUUGGAAAAAGUGUCUUUACAAAUGUAAUUUACAACAUUGAAUGAGCA
rnacentral:lncRNA from 10 species